UGGGGAAUAUUGGACAAUGGGCGGAAGCCUGAUCCAGCCAUGCCGCGUGUGUGAAGAAGGCCUUUUGGUUGUAAAGCACUUUAAGCGAGGAGGAGGCUACUUGGAUUAAUACUCUAGGAUAGUGGACGUUACUCGCAGAAUAAGCACCGGCUAACUCUGUGCCAGCAGCCGCGGUAAUACAGAGGGUGCGAGCGUUAAUCGGAUUUACUGGGCGUAAAGCGUGCGUAGGCGGCUUCUUAAGUCGGAUGUGAAAUCCCUGAGCUUAACUUAGGAAUUGCAGUCGAUACUGGGAAGCUAGAGUAUGGGAGAGGAGGGUAGAAUUCCAGGUGUAGCGGUGAAAUGCGUAGAGAUCUGGAGGAAUACCGAUGGCGAAGGCAGCCAUCUGGCCUAAUACUGACGCUGAGGUACGAAGGCAGGGGGAGCAAACAGG
rnacentral:rRNA from 1 species